UGGGGAAUUUUGCACAAUGGGGGAAACCCUGAUGCAGCGACGCCGCGUGAUUUAGAAGGCCUUCGGGUUGUAAAAAUCUUUUUUACGGGAUGAAAAUGACAGUACCGUAAGAAUAAGGUCCGGCUAAAUACGUGCCAGCAGCCGCGGUAAUACGUAUGGACCGAGCGUUGUCCGGAAUCAUUGGGCGUAAAGGGUACGUAGGCGGCCUAGUAAGUUAGAAGUGAAAUAAUAUAGCUCAACUAUAUAAAGCUUUUAAAACUGCUAGGCUUGAGAGGUGGAAGGGAAAGUGGAAUUCCUAGUGUAGCGGUGAAAUGCGCAGAUAUUAGGAAGAAUACCGGUGGCGAAGGCGACUUUCUGGUCAUCAUCUGACGCUGAGGUACGAAAGCGUGGGUAGCAAACAGG
rnacentral:rRNA from 1 species